rnacentral:rRNA from 1 species
ACGGGUGGGUAAUGUCUGGGAAACUAGCCUGAUGAGGGGGAGUAACUACUGAACGGUAGCUAAUACCGCAUAACGUCGCAAGACCAAAGAGGGGGACCUUCGGGCCUCUUGCCAUCGGAUGUGCCCAGAUGGGAUUAGCUAGUAGGUGGGGUAACGGCUCACCUAGGCGACGAUCCCUAGCUGGUCUGAGAGGAUGACCAGCCACACUGGAACUGAGACACGGUCCAG